CAAGGUGUAGUUUAUAUAAAAAUAUCAGUUUUGGGAAUUGAAGAUGUCUAAAUUGAUCAGCUUGA
rnacentral:tRNA from 1 species